AUAUGGUAGUCUGUUAGUAUAGUUGAAGGAUUUGGAAAAUUCCGCUAAAGAGGGUGAAAGCCCCGUAGACGAAAUGCUGACAACACCUAGGAGGAUCCUGAGUACGGCGGAACACGAGAAAUUCCGUCGGAAUCCGCGGGGACCAUCCCGCAAGGCUAAAUACUCCCUAGUGACCGAUAGUGAACCAGUACCGUGAGGGAAAGGUGAAAAGCACCCCGGAAGGGGAGUGAAAUAGAUCCUGAAACCGUGUGCCUACAACAAGUCAAAGCUCGUUAAUGAGUGAUGGCGUGCCUUUUGUAGAAUGAACCGGCGAGUUACGAUUGCAUGCGAGGUUAAGUCGAAGAGACGGAGCCGCAGCGAAAGCGAGUCUGAAUAGGGCGAAUGAGUAUGUAGUCGUAGACCCGAAACCAUGUGAUCUACCCAUGUCCAGGUUGAAGGUGCGGUAAAACGCACUGGAGGACCGAACCCACGUACGUUGAAAAGUGCGGGGAUGAGGUGUGGGUAGCGGAGAAAUUCCAAACGAACUUGGAGAUAGCUGGUUCUCUCCGAAAUAGCUUUAGGGCUAGCCUCGGAAUUGAGAAUGAUGGAGGUAGAGCACUGUUUGGACUAGGGGCCCAUCUCGGGUUACCGAAUUCAGAUAAACUCCGAAUGCCAUUCAUUUAUAUCCGGGAGUCAGACUGCGAGUGAUAAGAUCCGUAGUCGAAAGGGAAACAGCCCAGACCACCAGCUAAGGUCCCAAAAUAUAUGUUAAGUGGAAAAGGAUGUGGGGUUGCACAGACAACUAGGAUGUUGGCUUAGAAGCAGCCACCAUUUAAAGAGUGCGUAAUAGCUCACUAGUCGAGUGACCCUGCGCCGAAAAUGUACCGGGGCUAAACAUAUUACCGAAGCUGUGGACUACACCAUUAGGUGUAGUGGUAGGAGAGCGUUCUAAGGGCGUUGAAGGUCGAUCGUGAGGACGGCUGGAGCGCUUAGAAGUGAGAAUGCCGGUAUGAGUAGCGAAAGACAGGUGAGAAUCCUGUCCACCGUAUGACUAAGGUUUCCUGGGGAAGGCUCGUCCGCCCAGGGUUAGUCGGGACCUAAGCCGAGGCCGAUAGGCGUAGGCGAUGGACAACAGGUUGAUAUUCCUGUACCAGUUGUUUUUGUUUGAGCAAUGGAGGGACGCAGUAGGCUAAGGAAUGCAUGCGAUUGGAAGUGCAUGUCCAAGCAAUGAGUCUUGAG
rnacentral:rRNA from 1 species